GUACUCUUGGCCGAGUGGUUAUGGCGCCGCAUUUAAGUACAAUACAGAUGUGUCUCGGCACACCCGCACUGUAAAUCUGCGGUGGGGCAACCCGCGCGAGUUCGAACCUCGUAGAGUACA